GUCGACAGCCCCUUCCCCUUCUCUUCUUCUCUUCUUUCUCCUUCCUUCCUCUCUUCUCCUUCCCCGCACAGCACCCUACCUCUCUCCAUUUCUUCUUCACGCCCGCAGUAGUCUCAUGCUGCCUCUCCCUUCUCUUUUCCUUUUCCUUCUUUUUCCUCCUCCUCCCUUCUCUGUCGCUGCACCACAGCAGCGCUUCUCCUUUUCUUUCUCUUCUUCUCCUUUUCUCUCCUUUGGUCGCCCAAACAGCAACAACCCGACCCCCUUCCUCUCCAUUUCCUUUCUUCUCUUCCUUUUCCCUCCUUCUCUUCUUUGCUGUUCAUCACGCAGAGAUGGAGCCCGAGUGAGAGUACUACUGAGAGUGAGAGAUUUUUUUUGUAGAAAACUUGGAGAGGCCGAAUUGCAGAAAUUCCAAGGCACGUAGGGUGGAGACUUCAAUUGUCCUCCGACGGUGAAUUCAAGGUAACUAGAACGUGGGGAUAUUCAAGUCAUGGGUUCAAUGCAGCCAAGGUUCAGUGGAUCUAAUGAAUGACAUCAUAGCAUAGUACUUGGGACGUUAUGACCAACGCUCGACGCGACAGUUAUAAUGGUUGGACCAUGUGUUGUACGCCUUUUGAUAGACUUUGUUUAUGGCUCGUGUCGCCUGUGACACUUGUAUUCAUGAGCCAGUUUUUUUAGUAUGUAUUUAAUAGCUAUGUAAAAGCCUUAAACAGAUAGACAUAUUAAUAACUCUUUUGUUGUGAUUAACUGUUGUCUAUAGAUGUACCUUCCGCUA